ensembl:lncRNA
GACACUGAGGGUGUGGGGGCCGGGAGCUGCCCUGGGUGAAAACACCACAGACUCUCAUUGGUCUCCCUCAGCCUCAGAUGCUCCUCGGUGGGUUGUGUGCCUUCGGUCUCUUGGCAGAGUGCUGACCUGGUGGUUUUCUGCCGGCUUCUCCAGUGUGGUCAUUGCUGUGCGGGAGGCGGAUUUGCUGAAUUCCUCGCUCCACCAUUCCGUGUGUCCUGCCAGCCCACCCUGAGGACGUUUGGAAGGCACAUCCUUCCAGCAAUCUGAGCACCCAAGAUGGAGACUCCGGGGCCUGGAGGAUUUUGAGAAGAGCUGGUGGGAAGGCAGUACUGCAAAGCUUUUUGCUUCCGGAAAGCUCUCUGGGGUCCUCAGCAUUUUCCUGUUUUGCAUCAAAAUCCUGAGAUCUUGAAAAUGCCAGCAAGGUUACAACGUGGGCCCCAAAAACCACUGUCUCUGGGCAUCCAACACCAAUCAAAUAUUCAGAAUUGCUUGUCACUUGAGAUGAGUGGAAAGGAAUCGGGCAGGUGGGGUGGAGGGGUGGUCUUGGACCCCACUUUGUGUUGGAAGGACAAAUGCCAUGCAGAUGAGUCUUUCUCUGGGCAGAAGGGCGGGACCUUUGUGGAGAGCCCAGCCGCAGACACUGCUGUGGUCGCACUCCUGUUCCCUCAGCCCACCUGAGUGCCCCUGCAGCUGGGAGCCAGUGCCCAGGAGACUGAUAGCGGCCCCCUGCAGUGCCUGCAUCCCUCCUCCCUGCCUGAGGGCUCUCCUGCCCCAUGGGCCCUCCCUCUCCUGCAAGGCUGUGCGGCCUUGUGCAGGAAUGCCCUGGGGUGUUCCCUCCACCUGAGGGGACCGAGCCAGUCCAGGCAGGACCUGGUCUCCUGCUGGGACAGAGUGAUGCUCACCACAGUGGUGCUGGUUCUUCAGGCCCCGCUAAGGCUUUAAUCCUCCAGGCUCACUCCCCGCAUCCUCCCUCAGGCUUCCUGGGAAGACCUGCAAACAAUUUCCCCUCCAUCCUCCUCUGCAUGGGUACCAAACUCUGCUGAGACGCCACACUGGCUGUGUCUUUGGACAGGCUGUACAGCCUUCUGGACUUGAGCUUCCUCGCCUGGAAGAUGCUGACAAAUGGCCUCCCUCAGGGAGUCAUCAGGGGGGACCCAGUGUGUGACGAUGGAAACCACUGCAAAGAACGACGCCAAGUGAUCCUAAGUGAAAGUGCCAGCCUUGCAAAAGAAGCAGGAGCUCAUGAGGCCCAGGGGGGAAUGCGGGAAGCCUGUCCCAAUGGCGCGGACAGUCCCGGAUGGAUGAGGGUGGCCUCGCAGGGCAGGCCCCCGAGCAGCAGAAGAGCCAUUGGAUGAGGAGGGACCAGGACAGAGGCUUCCAAGGAGGAAGAUUGAAGUGCUAGGAGGUGAAAGAGGCCUUAGGAAAAGUGUGAGCCCUAGAAGAUGUUUCCUCAAAUGCCAUUGUUGGUCAGAAAAAUGGUGUCACCAAGCCCCAAUCCAUUAGAUUUCUUCUUUGUUGGUUUUAGGAAUCAGUGCACACUUGUAAUCAGAGCCCAUGUUUUGUUCAACAUAGGGCAUAUUUCUUUGUCCUAACUUUUCCUUCUUUUCUUGUUCUAGCAGAGGAGCCGUGCACGUCUUCUCUCCAUUCUUUCCUGUGCAUGACUGGCCUCCUCUGUUCAGAAGCGGAUUGCUGGUGCUCAUCACUCCCCCUCACCCGAGAGAUGGCCGUCUUCCAUGUCACACAGCAGAUGUGAACCGCGGGGACAAGGGUCACGCCAGGUCACACUCACUGGUGAGGUCACAUUGCUGGGUGCACAGUUGGGACCAGAGGAUUUGGGCUGAAUGAGUGAAAAGUAUGAGUGAGAGUAGAAAUGAAUGAAUGACUGAGUGAGUGAGUGAGUGAAGGAAGGAAGGAGGGAAUGAAAGCCUCAGUGAAUGAGUGAGGGAGCGCCUAAAGUCACAGCAGCUGGGAUCCACCGAGGAGGAGACUUGAUUUCUGGUGGGCUCCGAGGCUGUCACAGGGCAGGCCCUGCACAGCGGCAUGGAAUGUGUCCAGCUGUCCUUCCGGCUCUGAGCCCCUGUCACCUGCAACACAGAGUCGCCUGGAUCUUCUUCAACUCCGCCUCAAGGAAUGCUGGCUAUUCCUGGGGACAGGGCAGCAGGAGGGAAGCCGAGGAGGGACUCCCCAGACCCCGCACCCAGGAGGACCACUGUGACAGCCUGGCAGGUGGUUCCCAAUGCACUCCGGGCAGCAGGCAAGAGAUCCACAAGUCCUUCCUCAGCGGAGUCUCCCAAGAGCCCGUACGGAGGCCCAGUCAUUUCCUCAUUGCGCAGAAGGGGAAGCUGAGGCUCAGGGUCUCCCCUGCAGUCGCCAGCUAGAGAGAGGCUGAGCAUCGCCUAGGACCCCUGUCUCUCCGGCCCGGGGUCAUUCUGCCCAGUGUCCCACAUUGCAACCUCCUGGAGCUCAGGACUCCUGUCUUUCCUGGAGCCAGCCCCAUUCCGGCGUCCAGCCAUCACUGAACUUGAGGCCCAGGGCCAUCCCGUUUGCUUGGGGCUGGGGUGGUGACCAGGUUGGCCAGCCACAGACACUGUGGGCUCUCCGAGGACCAGGACCAGCCUAUCCCCCCACAGGAUGAGGUCUCUCUGGGCACCAGCACCAAAGAUUGUCAGGACUUUAGGGAAAAGAGGAGCCGAUCCUGCUGACAUCACCCCCAGGAGUCCCUGGGGCCCUUGGCCUCUGCCCACUCUGUUCUCCCGCCAGGCAUGCCCGACUCGCUCUGACUCCUUUGUUCCUCUGGAAUAUCUUUCUCCACCCCAUCCGGUGCCAUGACAGUCUGCCAGCCCGGGUGGGAUCCAGGCCCCCGGCCCAGCUCUCCUCCUGGGAUUCCUCAUCAUGGGAGCUAGUAGCUGUGGGGCUCUUCGAAGGAGCAGCCACUCCAAGUGCAGCCUCUGUGAACUUGUCUCACACUACCAUGGAAGGUCGGCUACCAGCCCAGUGCUCAGGGGAGGAAAGCGAGGCUCGAAUGGCAGUCCCUUGUCAAGGUCCCCAGGGCUCUCUCCCUCGUCCCCACUAAGCACAGCCCCUCCCUCCCAGAAGCAGAGUCUGCUGGCUGUGUGGACCAGGGGCUGGCACAGAGCCUGAGGCAAGGGUCACUGCUAGAGGACCCUAGCUCUGCUUUGGGCUCAAUGACCUUCUCUAAAGCCCCCCAGCCCCAGGCUUAGAGCUCUGGCACCUUCCACGAGGCCUCCGCCAUACCUUGUCAAAGUCCCUUCUGCUCACACGAGGUCCAGCGGGUCCUGCGCAUGCAGCUGAGAACGACCCCUGGAUGGAGCACGUUCGAGGUGGUCCCUGUGACUCUGUGCACUGCCCUAGAUAUUCUUUCCUGCCUCGAGGAUGGGGUUUGGAGGGAGAGAGAGCAGGCAGGAGUGUGUGGGCCCUCCUCAUCCUUUGUCCUGGUCAGCAGGUCAGGCUACUCAGCUC